rnacentral:rRNA from 1 species
AUACGUAGGGAGCGAGCGUUGUCCGGAAUUACUGGGUGUAAAGGGUGCGUAGGCGGGGAUGCAAGUCAGAUGUGAAAUCUAUCGGCUCAACUGGUAAACUGCAUUUGAAACUGCAUUUCUUGAGUGGUGGAGAGGUAAGCGGAAUUCCUAGUGUAGCGGUGAAAUGCGUAGAUAUUAGGAGGAACACCAGAGGCGAAGGUGGCUUACUGGACACUAACUGACGCUGAGGCACGAAAGCAUGGGGAGCAAACAGGAUUAGAUACCCUGGUAGUCCAUGCCGUAAACGAUGAUUACUAAGUGUAGGGGGUAUCGACCCCUUCUGUGCCGGAGUUAACACAAUAAGUAAUCCCCCUGGGGAGUACGGCCGCAAGGUUGAAACUCAAAUGAAUUGACGGGG